rnacentral:tRNA from 1 species
GCCUGGGUGGCUCAGUAGGUUAAGCGACCGAUUUCGGCUCGGGUCAUGUUCUCACGGUUCGUGGGUUCAAGCCCCGUGUCAGGCU